GGGCGUUUAGCUCAGCUGGGAGAGCAUCUGCCUUACAAGCAGAGGGUCGGCGGUUCGAUCCCGUCAACGCCCA
rnacentral:tRNA from 1 species